rnacentral:tRNA from 1 species
AUCUGGCUGGCUUAGCUGGUAGAGCAUGUGACUCUUGAUCUCUGGGUCGUGGAUUCAAGCCCCAUGAUGGAUG